GUGUCAUUCGCGCGGGUCGGCGGCGGACGGCGGAGGUGUGCGUUGUGUCUUGUGAGUGUGCGUUCUGCCGGGCUCUCGGGACGCUGAUUUCGAACGCGGCCAAGACGAGGGAGGAGGAGGCCGGCCGUGGAUGCAGAUAUCCAUCGCUGAGGUCAAAGGAUCGAUCCCCCAGCACCGAAGUUUCAAGAAAGAAAGCGAAAGCUUGCACCCGGCCUGCAGUGAUACGGUGAGCAGAUGUGUGUUAUGUUCAUCUUGUGCCGGCCUCCUCCAUACCUCCUUCCGCUCUCAAAAUGCCAUCCACUCCUUCCUUCAAAACUCUUACUGCGUGGCAUCAGGAGAGCCCCGCGAGGAACAACGUGCUGGUGACGCGGCGACCAUCCCCGGCGACUCCACCCAGCGCCUGUCCUUCCACACUUGCUCAGGUAUG